rnacentral:rRNA from 1 species
GACGAACGCUGGCGGCGUGCUUAACACAUGCAAGUCGAACGGAAAGGCCCUUCGGGGUACUCGAGUGGCGAACGGGUGAGUAACACGUGGGUGAUCUGCCCUGCACUUUGGGAUAAGCCUGGGAAACUGGGUCUAAUACCGAAUAGGAUCAUCGGCUUCAUGGUCGGUGGUGGAAAGCUUUUGCGGUGUGGGAUGGGCCCGCGGCCUAUCAGCUUGUUGGUGGGGUAAUGGCCAACCAAGGCGACGACGGGUAGCCGGCCUGAGAGGGUGACCGGCCACACUGGGACUGAGAUACGGCCCAGACUCCUACGGGAGGCAGCAGUGGGGAAUAUUGCACAAUGGGCGCAAGCCUGAUGCAGCGACGCCGCGUGAGGGAUGACGGCCUUCGGGUUGUAAACCUCUUUCAGCAGGGACGAAGCGCAAGUGUCGGUACCUGUAGAAGAAGGUCCGGCCAACUACGUGCCAGCAGCCGCCGUAA